GACGCUAUAAGAUACAAUGUCGCCAACAACAUAAUUAAAUUUGAUCGUUCAAUCAACCAAACAUGUAAAGUCAAAAUCCCUUAGUCUACUGUUGUUACUGGAAUUGGAUCCACAUGAGAAAGUUCAUAAGAAAAUUUUAUAGCUUCCAAAGAGAAAAUUAAAGAUAAAUUUGUAAAGGGGCUUAAUUUGACAACAAACAAAUGAAUACAAUGUUGAGAAAAAGCCUACCGCAACAGGAUCUGAACCUCUUGA
rnacentral:misc_RNA from 1 species